CAUCGUGAGGUGGAAUCUGAAGGAAGCUCUAGGCAAAUCGUUGGUCCGACGAAUAGGAACCGCAUCAGGCAUAUGGGAGUGGGUAAGGUUGCCACACAAACUGAAGCCCCAAGCUAUACGGAACUCUCGGUGUAAAUGCGGCGGAUAGGUGACGAGAAAGAUUGU
rnacentral:ncRNA from 1 species